UCCUCUGAUUGGACUAUUAUUUGUUCGCACUAUCACGAGGCUUGAGGCUGGUCACAGUGGCGAGUAACAUACACUAGUAACAUGCAUAUAUUAAAGUAGUAACAUAUAAGUCUCAUUUAU